rnacentral:rRNA from 1 species
UACAGAGGGUGCAAGCGUUGUUCGGAAUUAUUGGGCGUAAAGCGCGUGUAGGCGGCUUUGCAAGUCGGGUGUGAAAGCCCUCAGCUCAACUGAGGAAGUGCGCCCGAAACUGCAGAGCUUGAGUACCGGAGAGGGUGGCGGAAUUCCCCAAGGUAGAGGUGAAAUUCGUAGAUAUGGGGAGGAACACCGGUGGCGAAGGCGGCCACCUGGACGGUGAACUGACGCUGAGACGCGAAAGCGUGGGGAGCAAACAGG